CCCCUCUUCCUAACUUUCACAUCGCGGGACGCAUUUCAAGUUAAGCUAGACUGAAUUUAAUCCCCUAAAACAGGCAGCGACCAGUAGGAGUGGACGUGAGAAAGGGCUCUGAGGGUGUGCUGCAAUUUGUGCAGGGUUCGGGAACGGCACUUGUCGGAGCAAGCCGUCGGAGCUGUCACCCUGCUACCAGCAAUGGGUUAGCUCCACUUCAGGACACACACAGGCAGGGAAGUCCUGCAGGGAUUGUCAGGAGCCAUGAAAUACGUGCUCAUGGCCUACAGGUUUUCCUUGUCUAGAAACAACUUCUGGGACCCCGACAUCUGACCAAGUGCUGGUUCAUACCGUUUUAAAAAUUAGAGGCAGUUACCAAGGAAAUGCAUAGUAAGCUGCUGUUCCUUUGAACUACCUUUGAAAGUGUUAACGGUGGUGUCAGAAAUUAAAACGGCUAAAAGGAAUGAAGAGAAGGCCUGAAACAUGAGCUGGAGAUCUCCCCAGAGGAAACUGGUGAAUUUCACAAGCUGGAUCUGAAGUUUCACUUAAGGGAUCCAUAGAGAACUGAGGAACUGACAAAAAGAAACCAGAAUAAAAUAUGUCUGAAAUUGAAAAUUCCCGUUUGGGGCUGGCAAGAUAAAAAGGCUAGAAAUCAAAUGUUCUGGACAGAUCAGAAGAACUGACUGGAAACAGUGGCAGGGGAAGGAAUGGCAGGAAAUCAGGAAACCUUUGGCCUAUUUGUAACUUCCUAACUGAAGAGGGAAGCUAAUAAUAAGCCCCAGAAGGAAAUUAAAGUUCCCGUGCCACGGUGGAAAUGAGCAACCGUGAUGGGGAAUUGAGCCAGAAAAAGCAUUUUAGUAAGAUAAGAUUUUUAUGUGUUUCUUUUAUUCUGUUUGUGUCCAUGGGGCAGGAAUGAAAUUACCCAGCUAUAGCAAUACAAACGUUUACUGUCUUGGGGGACAGGGUGGGUGGAAGGAAAAACUGUACUGGUUGAAGUUGACCUCACUGUCCAAAUGGAUUACUGAAAAAAAAAAAAAAAGAAUGGGCUAUCUCCAGCAGCUAUAGACAGUGUUGAUGGCACAGUACCACUUGUUCCCAGGAUUAAAGUGACUUACCCAGAUCACCUACAAGCCCGUAACAUACCAGGUAGCAGCAGCUAUCUUGCUAGAGCCCAGCUGUGUGCUAGAAGGAAAGGGGAAAGGAAGAAGCUAGCUGGCUUGUUAGAAGACUUGCAAAGACUUGUAUUCUUGCUGUGAGAAGAUACUAGCAAGGGCGUAAUAGUCAGCUGCCAGAGGACCAAUCUAUAGGUUUAAAACCAUGUCAAGAUCAGUGAAAGGAAGCACAGGAGGUCUGCAAAGCAAUAUAAUUUGUAUAUCAUGAGUUUUCCCCUUCACCAGAGUAAAAUAGCCAUUAAGAAGUAAAUCUUCAUGAUCCUUGUCAGCUCAUGUUUUAAAGCGUGUGAUGAAAUGGAAUCCGCAUCUAGUAUGCGAUAUUUGUGAACAAUUAGAAAGAGAGAUAGUCCAUCAGCAGGGACAGUUGGCAAUAAUGCAAAAUUAGAGAGUAGUAAUUAUGUUAAAAGCUGAUACUGGAAAAAAUUUGGACACAAAAAGCGUGGUUAUAAAUAACAUGCUGGCCAGCACAGACCAUGACAGAUGGUGAAAUCUCCUUUCCCAGUUUGGGAGAGAGGGGGAUGAUUGAAGAUGGGAGCUCACACAUGAAGAGGAGGAGCUUGGAAAUGCAAGCAUCAGCUUCACAACACUUAAUCUGGACAUUUAAACCAAUAACAGGAAUCUGGCUAUUGAACAACAUCUGUGGAAAACACAGAAAAGUGGAACCUGGCACAACAUGGUAGCUAUUAGACCAGACAUGUUCAAAAACAACUAGGAAGCAGAGACUCUGUAAUUUUACACCUAAUUUGCUGAAUGGAGACAGUGACUGCAAAUACAUAUCACUCCAGAAUCUGGAAAGCUGUUAUUAUCUUUCGAUUAUCAAACUGAUUACCAGCUUUCAUUGUAGCAAGUAACUGCAUAAUGAAUAAUCCUACACAUUUCUAAGUGCUUUACAAAUCCUUAUUAGAGAAGUGGCCUGGUGCAAAAAAAAGAAAAAGAUACAUGUAUCAGUUUUGAAAUGUUUCUGCCUCUCAGGGACUGAAGCCAUGAUAACUAUACUUCAAAAGAAAGGUGGGAGUGGUUGAAACCUGUUUGAGAGCAGGUUUCAAGAAAGUCCUAGGUUUUCUGCAUGUGAAAAUGGAAAAGAUCCCUGUUAAUUUGCUGGAUGUUUCUGACAAGGAAAAGAUUCUACAGAGAGAAGCCAAAGAUGCAGAAUGUGAGUCAGUAAGACACAGGAAUAGAUGAAACCCUCAAGGAGAACCAGGGACAAAAGAGUUUCUGUUGGAUUUGGUCCAAUAUAGUGCAGUACAUUUUGAUGGGUUUGAAGUAUCUUCUGGUUAGGAGUUGUUCUCCCAGUUCAGAGACAUAGUUUAUCUUGCACUGGGCAUCACAAGAUUGAUUGUUGGGGGGCAAGGCAAAGGGGGCAGGACGCAGUAUAUAUCAUUAAUGAUAAAAAAAAGAAGCCUCACAGAGAAAUUUAUCUGGAAGUUACACAAGAGGUUUUAGUCAGUCGCAGGGCCUCAUCUAUAGUUAGGUUUAAGAAAGAAGUGGAAGCACAGGGUUGUUUGUGAACUCUUGAAAACUGAAUUCGGUCACUUUGAAUAAUUUUUAUGCAUUAUCACAAAGAAAUGAUACACUGGGAUGCUCUAGCAAAUUAAAUCUGAUUCUUCACACUCAAUUUCAAAGUGCAAUAUUAGGAGAUGGGUCACAAGAAGAAGGAAAAGACUAUUCUCCCAGCAGGACAAGGUCAGCAGCAAGUUAAAGUCUUCGCUGUAUGCCAGCAACUAGCUGUGUUGGAAGGCUAUUGGAUCAUGUUCUUCCCUCACCUCGUGUAUUUUCUAGGCAAGAUAUUCUGCCAUGUGUUGCAAAUGGUCUCAAGUAAGCUUAGAACUACAAUCAAAAUAAAUCCAUAAUUCUAAAGCCCCCUUUUAUUCCUGCCAGUAAGGUAGCGGGAGAGAGGGAGGCAAAAUAUUCCCACUGAUAGAAGGGAAAUAAUCUGUACAUAACUGGUCCUCUCCCAAGGGCUGGCAGACAUGCAGAGUUUCUGCAGGGCUCUUCUGGAAGUUCAUUUGCGAGUUUGUCAGUAUUGCAAAAUUAUUUCAUAGGUUGGGAAAGAAAAAGAAAACAUCUCAGUGGCUGAGAGACCAUGACUGAGCAUUUUCGGUUGGAAAAAAAAAAAGCGGUUUUAACUGCCACUGUAUCAGUAUAUUCAUGUUUCAAAACCUCUUUCCUAUCUGAUAUGGAUACUUGCGCUUACAUAAGAGCACAAACAUUAUGAGGUGAAGGUGACUUAGCAUAGCUAAAGUCUAAGUUCUCUGGCACCACUGGACAGGAAUUAGUAAUUGGUUACAUCUCUUAAAAAUAGCUUUCACAUAUAUGACAGUUUCUGGUGAUGAGAGACCAUACAUUCCUUGUGUUUCAGCAUGGCUGACAUCAUCUUAGCAUACUAAGAAAGCAAAGCUUAGGUAAUGACUUUCCUUUCAGGUGGUUUCUUCCCCUGCUACUUGUGAAGCCAUUAGCUAAUUUAGGCCAAAUUUGACAUGGGAGCAGAAGCGUCAAAGAUACCAAGUUUCUGAGUGUUUUGUGAAACAAUAUUUGGGGUGAGAGCCCCUGUUAAUAUUCCACAGAGGGAAACAUGGCUAGAACUUAGCUUUUACCCUUCCAAGAGGCAGCAGUCAGCUGGCCACUCUUGGCCAAUCUGUAUACCUGUAGCUAAGACACAGCUGCAGUCAGGACUCUUGCCCAUCUCAAAUAGCUAGGGGAGGACUAUGCAAAGAAGGUUUAUGGAUAUGGAAAAUAGUGACUUAUAGCGUUCAGUGGCUAGAACACAAAUUCAGAGGAAAUCUGGCUUCAUUAACACUGCAGCUCUUGGAAAAAUUCAUUCAAGCUUGGGAUUUUUGGUGGCUGGAAAGACUGCAGUGUUCUGACUUCUUACCCAACUCUGACACAAAAGUGUUAAUGCUGAUACAUUGGUUAACAAACAAAGCAAUAAAGCAAGAAUGGUUGCUCAGGGGAACAUAAGCUCAUGAAGAGCUCUUUCCUUCCCUCAGUUACAGAGGCCUACAAUGUCAGGUUCAUCUACGAGAUACAGGAUUUUGCAAAUGGAAAUGGGAAUUUGUGCUUUUUUGCAAGUCAACAGGACUCUGUAGAAGGAAUAGUUAGCUAUUUCCAGUAUUAUUCUCAUACUGGAAACCUCUUAACAGGAUUCUGAUUUUUGACUGACUGCUUAGGUCAAAGUGGCCAGCAUCCCCAGUAUCAAUAUGCUACAUUAGAGUACUGAAAUCUACACAGUCAUGGUUUUGACUAUUCAAACCUUAAUUAUAUAGGUUUGGGGUCUUUAUCUCUAACUAAACAAUUGCCAAUUAAGUUAGCUGAACAUAUGUUACUCCGGCUGGUUCAUAAACCAUCAGCAACACAGGCAAAGCUGUAUACUCAUAGCUUACAUGAACCUGAAGCACAGGGUGCUACUUAGAGAGACCUCCCCCUCAAAAGCAAAUCAACUCCCAUAGGAGGGAAGCUGUGGAAGGUAGUGUAAAAAGUAGGAGAAGGAAUAUUUUGACGGAAACCUCAAAGGGAUCAAAGGGGUGUAAGCGAAAUAAAAAGAGAUGAGAAAGUAGUGGAAUGCUCUGUUUUUCUUCCUGUAAUUUUUUGUUUUUUUUUCAUAAUGGACCCUGCGGGCAAAGAGCUCUUCAGUGUAAUAUACGUAUGAACCUCUGAAGGGUCAUGUUUAAGAGCUUAUGCCAGCUACCUCCAAAAAAGGGAAAUAGUUGGUGAAAUUCUGAAUAAUCUUCAUUCACUUUUGAUCAUGUGGCAUAUAUAUUAGUAAAGCAGGGUUUCCGGAAACUUGAAUUGCUGGGAUGGAUUGAAGAAUCCAAAAUGCCUUCUUUCUUUUCAGAAAUAUAGACUGUUGGACCAAGUUAGAACUUAAGUGUUUUUGCUUUCUUUAUCCAAAAAUACUUCUUAUUUUUUGAAAUACUUGGCUAUAGCUGACCUUUCUUUGGAAAUCAUAAUUUUUGGAUUAAUUGUGAAAAGGUAAUUGCUGGUAUGAAUGUGACCCAGUUGCCCUUGCUACCUUGACUGCCCAAUAGGGCUCUGUACAGAAAGUUAAGGGGAAUACAGUUCUGCAAUACUUGCUUUUCUACACUACUUCUUAAAAACUUCAGUUAAACUUAGCUAUGGAGGCCUCCUCAUGGCUGGACAACUGCAUUUGUAAAGUCUUUUCUUUAAAAUGGAAACACAAAGAUUUGGGUACAGUAAUAAGUGCCUAGAAUGUUGCAGAACCUAGCCCUUCCCUAACUAAUCCUGGUAUUUUCUAACCUUGUCCUCCAUGCAUAAUCAAAGUCAUUGAAGUCACAUGCUUCAAAGUCAAACCUUUGCAAGAUUAUGGCCUUUUAACUGUGUACGGAACAUGCCCUUCCUGCCAGGUAUGCUUUGAACAAGGAGGUGCUCUCUGGAAGUCAUUAUUAACUUGGUUAACACCACUCCCUCCUUUCAUUUAAUGUUUUGGUGACAUCUGAUUCUAUUUAUUUAGCAUUAUUAAGCUCUGUGUUGAGUUAAAGACCUAAAAAUCAUUUU